GCUUGUCUCAAAGAUUAAGCCAUGCAUGUCUAAGUAUAAACAAAUCUAUACUGUGAAACUGCGAAUGGCUCAUUAUAUCAGUUAUAGUUUAUUUGAUGGUUCUUGCUACUUGGAUAACCGUAGUAAUUCUAGAGCUAAUACAUGCGUCAAACCUCGACUUCUGGGAGAGGUGUAUUUAUUAGAUAAAAGGCCGACCGGGCUUGCCCGACUCGCGGUGAAUCAUGAUAACUUCACGAAUCGCAUGGCCUCGUGCCGGCGAUGUUUCAUUCAAAUUUCUGCCCUAUCAACUUUCAACCGUAAGGUAGUGGCCUACGGUGGUGGUAACGGGUGACGGAGGAUUAGGGUUCGAUUCCGGAGAGGGAGCCUGAGAAACGGCUACCACAUCCAAGGAAGGCAGCAGG
rnacentral:rRNA from 1 species